rnacentral:misc_RNA from 1 species
GUGAAUCAUCAAAUUUUUGAACGCAAAUUGCACUCUUCUCGGAGAGUAUGCCUGUUUGAGGGUCAGCCUAUAAAAAAUAGACAUCGUUGCUGUUUCGCGGUGGCGUUCGUCGGAAAUUUGGUUAUCUUAAAUCUUUUGGGUUUAUGCGACUUAAUAUUUUCUUUUUGGUUCCAUGAACGUUUCUAAGAUUUAUUUCUUUACACGUUUAAGGUAUCGAUUUUUAUUAGACGUGACCAUCAUAACGGAUCGCGCCCAUGAUCUUUCAUCAACUGACCACAG